GACCUGUAAACCAAUUGGACGACAGUUCAGACAGAGCUAUAGACCCAUUUCGACACCGCCUACAAAUGCACGCUUAGGUUUACGCAUAAUAAUAGUGAUAAUGAGGUCACUUAAAUACAGAUUGCCUGGUGUUUUUCAUGCAGGGUCUAUAACAACAACAUUCCUCCAGCAAAGAAAGCAUAAUAUUAUUAUCAUUUUUGUGUUUUCAGCUGAACACUUGAUUUUGCUUGAACUCAGCAAGAUAUCCAAACAGGAAAAAUAAGGCAAAGUAGUUUUAUUAAAACUUAUUCUGAGUAGAAUUGCCUGACGGGGUUGAAAGCGAAGGCAAAUAACAGUGUCGGUCAAAAAUUGGCAGGCAUUUUUAACAGUAAAAGGUUCAAAAAGUAAACAAUAAUAAUAGAUACAGAUGAAAUAAAGACAUGCAUUAGGUUCAUUUUUGAGACUGAUGCAAAUUAAUGUCAAAAUGUCACUGAAAAACAAUACCGAGUGUUUAAGUAGUCUUAGAAUAUGUCUCCGGAACAGGUUUCGGUGUGAUUUUCCAGCAUUUACCCCCCUUAUUACCCCAAGUGCUACAGCCCAAUUGCAAACAGCCCUAAUUUGGGUCAAAAUGACAUCUGGCAGUUAUGUUUUGCAAUACAGAGAGUUUUUGAUGGUCAAUUGUCAAAAUUCUGGCAGACGACUAACUUGGUCGGAAGUUCUUAAAGAGAACCCAACCCCUUCAAAUUUAUAUAAAAGGCACUUUUCCCACAGGUAUAAUCUGUUUUGAGAAAAAUCACAAAGUUCCGAUACAAUGACACACAGAUUUAUUCAUAAAAGUUGCCGUUGAAAGCGUCAUGCAUAACAGCGUUUCGCGUCAAGAAUUAUGGUAGAAAAGCCAAACUUGGUUUC